GAAGCCUGUGGCCAUUUGGUUACUAGGCAAUGUGGUGUUUAGGUCGUUCCGCAGAGACACUGCUCCUCUCUAAGUCCAUCAAUGAGUACGGUUGUACUGACAUGGCCCACGGAGGGUGAAAGGCCCGUAAGAGAGGAGUUUUGGUGUGACAGUGUCUCUCUGGAUUGACCUUGGAGUCGGGUUGUUUGGGAAUGCAGCCCUAAGCGGGUGGUAAACUCCAUCCAAGGCUAAAUACAAGCACGAGUCCGAUAGCGAACAAGUACCGUGAGGGAAAGUUGAAAAGUACUUUGAAGAGAGAGUAAACAGUGCGUGAAACCGCUUAGAGGUAAACGGGUGGAGUUGAACUGCAAUCUUUGAGAAUUCAGCUGGGGAAUUUUGCUUGAGCUUGGUCAAUUGGGCAGGGCCUCGGGGUAUGCUUAGCUGCAUGUUCUGAUCUUCGGGUCGGAAUGCGCGUUGCUCUUAUCAAGGGCUGCGCGCCUCGGGUGUCCGGCUGGCUCAUUCGCCAGUGCACUUUCUCAGAGUGAUCACCACGACCGGCGCUGCUGCUUGGCUGUUUUAGUUAAACCGCACAUUCAUCGUCCUUGUGGCGUUGGGUGGACGACACGGCAGGUAACUGGGGGCUUGCUUCGGCUUGCUUCUCGGUGUAUGCUGGCUCUAACGGUUCUGUGCAGUGUGUCGGAGACGGCGGCUUGUGGUGUGUGCAUGCGUGCCUAUCUGUUGGCAUAUUCUGGUUUGGUGGCUGUGUGCUUGUUCAAGCAGGCCCAGUUAUAGCCGGGGUGUGUCAGUGGGUGGAUGCGUGUGUGUCACUUUUCAGGGCCUACAGUCUGUGGUGUUGUGGUAGACUAUCCACCUGACCCGUCUUGAAACACGGACCAAGGAGAGUAACAUGUGCGCGAGUCAUUGGGCGUAACGAAACCCACAGGCGCAGUGAAAGUAAAGGUCUGGCUUGUCCAGUCUAAGGUGAGAUCCUGUCGUUGUUCAUGCGUGGUACCACCAAGCUUGGAGCGAUAGGCGCAUCACCGGCCCGUCCCAUGACGUGGACAUAGUCUUCGGAUUGUGCGCCGUCGGGGCGGGGC
rnacentral:rRNA from 1 species